rnacentral:siRNA from 1 species
AUCGAAAGUCUACGGCACAAGGUA